rnacentral:rRNA from 1 species
UACGGAGGGUGCGAGCGUUGUCCGGAAUCACUGGGCGUAAAGGGCGCGUAGGCGGCCACCGCAAGCCAGUUGUGAAAUCUCUGGGCUUAACCCAGAAAGGUCAACUGAUACUGCGGGGCUAGAGUGCAGAAGGGGCAACUGGAAUUCUCGGUGUAGCGGUGAAAUGCGUAGAUAUCGAGAGGAACACCUGCGGCGAAGGCGGGUUGCUGGGCUGACACUGACGCUGAGGCGCGAAAGCUAGGGGAGCGAACGGG